rnacentral:rRNA from 1 species
ACGGGAGGCAGCAGUGGGGAAUAUUGGGCAAUGGGCGCAAGCCUGACCCAGCGACGCCGCGUGAGGGAAGAAGGUCUUCGGAUUGUAAACCUCUUUCAGCAGGGAAGAAGCAAGUGACGGUACCUGCGGAAGAAGUCACGGCUAACUACGUGCCAGCAGCCGCGGUAAUACGUAGGUGGCGAGCGUUAUCCGGAAUUACUGGGUGUAAAGGGUGUGUAGGCGGAGAAGCAAGUCAGGCGUGAAAUUUAUGGGCUCAACUCAUAAACUGCGCUUGAAACUGUUUCCCUUGAGAGUGGGAGAGGUAAACGGAAUUCCUGGUGUAGUAGUGAAAUGCGUAGAUAUCAGGAGGAACACCGGUGGCGAAGGCGGUUUACUGGACCACAACUGACGCUGAGACACGAAAGCGUGGGGAGCAAACAGGAUUAGAUACCCUGGUA